UACGUAGGGUGCAAGCGUUGUCCGGAAUUAUUGGGCGUAAAGAGCUCGUAGGCGGCUUGUCGCGUCGGAUGUGAAAGCCCGCGGCUCAACUGCGGGUCUGCAGUCGAUACGGGCAGGCUAGAGUUCGGUAGGGGAGACUGGAAUUCCUGGUGUAGCGGUGAAAUGCGCAGAUAUCAGGAGGAACACCGAUGGCGAAGGCAGGUCUCUGGGCCGGUACUGACGCUGAGGAGCGAAAGCGUGGGGAGCGAACAGG
rnacentral:rRNA from 1 species